rnacentral:rRNA from 1 species
GAUGAACGCUGGCGGCGUGCUUAACACAUGCAAGUCGAACGGAAAGGCCCAAGCUUGCUUGGGUACUCGAGUGGCGAACAGGUGAGUAACACGCGGGUGAUCUGCCCCGCACUUCGGGAUAAGCCUGGGAAACUGGGUCUAAUACCGGAUAGGACAGUGGUUUGGAUGCCAUUGUGGAAAGUUUUUUCGGUGUGGGAUGAGCUCGCGGCCUAUCAGCUUGUUGGUGGGGUAAUGGCCUACCAAGGCGUCGACGGGUAGCCGGCCUGAGAGGGUGUACGGCCACAUUGGGACUGAGAUACGGCCCAGACUCCUACGGGAGGCAGCAGUGGGGAAUAUUGCACAAUGGGCGCAAGCCUGAUGCAGCGACGCCGCGUGGGGGAUGACGGCCUUCGGGUUGUAAACUCCUUUCGCUAGGGACGAAGCGUUAUGUGACGGUACCUAGAGAAGAAGCACCGGCUAACUACGUG